rnacentral:rRNA from 1 species
AUUGAACGCUGGCGGCAGGCCUAACACAUGCAAGUCGAACGGUAGCACAGAGAGCUUGCUCUCGGGUGACGAGUGGCGGACGGGUGAGUAACGUCUGGGAAACUGCCCGAUGGAGGGGGAUAACUACUGGAAACGGUAGCUAAUACCGCAUAGCGGCGCAAGACCAAAGUGGGGGACCUUCGGGCCUCACACCAUCGGAUGUGCCCAGAUGGGAUUAGCUAGUAGGUGGGGUAAUGGCUCACCUAGGCGACGAUCCCUAGCUGGUCUGAGAGGAUGACCAGCCACACUGGAACUGAGACACGGUCCAGACUCCUACGGGAGGCAGCAGUGGGGAAUAUUGCACAAUGGGCGCAAGCCUGAUGCAGCCAUGCCGCGUGUAUGAAGAAGGCCUUCGGGUUGUAAAGUACUUUCAGCGGGGAGGAAGGCGGUGAAGUUAAUAGCUUCACCGACUGACGUUACCCGCAGAAGAAGCACCGGCUAACUCCGUGCCAGCCGCCGCCGUAAUAC